rnacentral:lncRNA from 1 species
CUGGCAAAAUAAAAAAUAAAUAAAAAUGACUACAACAAUUCGCAGGAUAGGAUGUCAAAUAGUUCAAAAAGCAGUUCAUUUUACUACGAUAUUUACAAACUUCCUAUGUUUGACAUCCUUCACUGUACGUCUUAUGUGAGUUACGAACAUGACAGUCUAGAUUCUUUUUGUGUUUAUACGUUUUCUGGCAAUAUUCACAGUUAAAUGGACGGCCAUCUGAAUGUUUCUGUUCGUGUAGACUUAGUCGACUUCGGUUCCUGAAAGUUUUACCACAAUAUUUACACACACGGUGUUUUGUCGCGCAGUCGUAUCAUCAUCAUGGACUUCCUGUUUGUGUGCACAAAAGUUUCCUCUCGUUGAGAAUUGUUUCUUACAUUCGAUACAUAAACACAUUUUAUGACUUUCUAAUAAAUGGGUCUCAGUUGCUCGUAUAUCUGGAAACAAUUGGUUACAAAUUGUGCACGUCACACUGAGUUCGGUACCUUGAUUUUUAUGCACUGCUG